UAAAAGCCAAGCUCGAUAAGUUGCACAACAUAAUUUCCAUAGCUAAACCAAGUUUGUUUAAUUUGAAUGGCAAGACCUAAAAGGUAUAAUAUAAAGGAAUUACAAGACAGAACAUUAAAAGACUUUUUUCUUCCUCAGGUGGAGAGUACUGUAUUUUUUUUAUACCUUUCUUUUUCCCCUCUCCCACAACGUUAUUAAAUUCCUUAAAAGAACAGACCAUCUUUGUUCCUAUGCUGCAAUCUCAAGAUCUAUGAAUAAAGCAGGCACCCAGUAAAUACUUGCUAAUUUGUGUAAUUGACCAACUCUUGACAAUUCAAUAUAACAGACUCAAAUAUCAAGUUAGUUAGAGUUUAAAACAAAACCUUUGUGUGCCCUAGUGAACGAUGUAAACACGAACAGCAGAAUCCAAAAUCUUCUAAUCAUUUGUGUUGCCCUAAAUACAAAACGGUCUCAUAGGCCGAAUACAGCUCAUAAACCAACAUCUCACGUGAGUUACCUUCUCUCUAUCCACCUUCUAAGUCAAUAAAUAAAAUAUUGAAAACAUUCUGAAAAGAACCCUCUGCUGCCUGAGAAAAAAUACACCACACAUUUAGAGCCAAAAGGUUGCCUUAAGGGGGCAAAGAGUGAAAAAUUCUCCUUUCUAAUACUUUAUCAGAAUUCCAAGAACUACGCAAAUUCAAACACGUCAAAGCUCCUGUUUCUCCAUCGAUAAAAUGCAGAAAGAAAAACGUGCGUGCGUGUGUGUGUGUGUAACAGAACCUCACCUAAUGGGAUAAUUAACAUCAGAAAAAGCUAAAUUCUACUACUGAUUAAAAGUUGGCUUGUCAUUUGUCUUGCCAGUUGAUCGCUCUAGAGUACCUAUCAAUUGCUGCAGUCCGUAAAGGGCAGUUCCUUCCCAUUGGUUACCACAGAAAGUUCUUUCCUGACCCCAAAUUGCCUAGUGCGUUUCAGUCACGAUGCCUGGAUGGAACCCACAGUUGACCAAUAUCUGGGGAUUGAAAGGACAGGCCGGUGUUGGGGAAAUGCUCACUACCCUCUGGAUUCAACUGUCCUCCCAAUCCCACAACCAACACAGAGCAUUUCAAAAGUGCUUCGCAUUCCCAAGAAUCCCCCAGAUGCAAAUGGAGAAACUGAAAAGAAGGUGAACAGAGGCAGCCCCACUUCCGGACCCUACCUCUCCGUGACUGUACUUCCGGUCUCCUCCGAAACGCCCGCUUUCACAGAUCAAGUUCUUGCAACCAAUGAGAGCAUCAGCUACUUCCGCCGGUCUGCGGGGCGUGGUCUAAAUCCCGCCUUUUCCGGUGGAGGGGAGCCUAUCCUAGCGUCCUAAUCGCCCGGCUCAGUAGGCGGUGCCGUGACAAGCCCAACCGGACGGCUGGAGAGGGCGAAAAGGGCAGACGGGGCGUGCAGCCUCUUCCGCCUGCGGCCCGGAAGGGUGAUGUGGCUGCGGUAUCGCCGGCCUCGCUAUGAUUGUUGGGUAUAUUUUGGAAAUGUGCCAGAAUUGGUGAACGGAAGAGUCCUUAUGUAGCAGUAUGCUGUAUAGUAAUGGCCUUCAGCAUCCUCUUCAUACAGUAGCUGGGGAAAAUGCCAGAAUUUAAUUGCCAUCAGAUUUCAUUGUGAACAAGGACUUACUGCAGAAAAUAAUGGAAAGGAUGGUUAACCCUUUUAUCUCUGAACAUUGAAUGAGAUAAAUUUCCAGAUGCUGUUCUCUAUUUUUAUGUUAUUGGACCAAUGUUCUAUAUAAUAAUUAAGAUGUAACCAUUUAAUAGUCUGUAACAAUCAACCUCAGUAUUGUCACUACAAUAUUACAUUCUGCAAAUGUUAUUCUGUUGUAUCAGAUACCAAAUUUUAGUGAGGUAUCUCCAAGGCACAUAGGAGAAAACAAAAUUGGUUAAUUACUCAAGUUCCUUUCACUGUGAUUUGGAAAUGAUUUAAUCUUUAUAGAACGAGACCCUUUUUUGGACUAGCUUUUUUAUUAAAAUGGCUCAAUUUGUGUUGAUAAGGAUUGCAGUCAUGUUUAAUAGCGCUUGCUUUUCCUCUGGGCACACCAUUUUGAUCAUUAACCAGAGUACCUCUACUCUUAGCAAACUCUAGUUUAUGACAAGUAUUUAAAAUAUUUAAAACAAGCUUAUAAGUUCUUAAGGAGCAAGGUAAAUGAGAUGUAACUUAAAAAUAGUAUUGGAAAAAUGUUGAUAUUUAACAUUAGUGGAUUUAGACUAGACAUGGCAUAGUAGGCUCUGAAACCUCUUGUCAAGUAUACAUAAGUGUUUUGUGCAUGAAUUUUUACCAGAAAGCUGUCUUUCUCUGAAAAACACAACAUUCUUAGAAUGAAAAGAACAGUUGUAAUUAUCUUAUAUAUGUUUUUCAUUAUUUUUAGUGUCACGGCUUCAAAAAUGAAACAUUUUAAUUGCCCUAAAGAAACUGUAUUUUUGUUUUGUUUUUUAAUAUAGCACUUUAAAUCCAGUUUGUGUUUUGUCAACUUGAGCUGAAAUCUUUUUUGUUACUUUGAAGGUGAUAAAUAGUUUUCAAAUCUACUGAUUUGUGUACUGUGGCAUAAGUAUCUUUGAAUUUGGGUGGUGAAAGGAGACCUUCAACAAUUUUUAGUCUAGGCAAGAGAAUUAUUGGGAAUGUGACUUCUAAAUUUUACAAUAGAGCAGUUAUUUUAAGGUCAUGGUUAACAUUUCUUAAGGUUCAACUGAAAUUCAGUUAAAAUUUCAGAGCUAAGAGGAACUUAAAUCUUAGCUAAAAAUUACCUGUUGUAGAAGUAUUAAUUAGAUUGUUUGCAGCUAUUAAUUCAUCAUAAAGGUAAAAUGAAGAAACUCCCUUUUUGAAGAAAAGAAAAUUAUUUCUAAUUUAAUAGGCUAGUAGUUAUUUCUGCAGAAACAAAGUAUGGAACUGAAAGCCACCUAUUUUUAUUUUAAACUAAACCACUUGGAAUGGAUUCUAGGUAACAUCUUAAGCUUGUGUGUUGCCUGUGGUGGUUUUUUUGUUUGGGGGUGUUUUUUGGUUUUUGUAUGAUUUUCUGUAUUUUGUUAUCUGACGAUUUUUUGUUUGGUUUGGUUUUGGAUUUUUUUUUUUUUUUUUUUUUUUUGGCAAUAGAGCUGUUACGCGUUAUCGCUGUAUUUUAUAUUUUUGGCAUGUCUGUGCAGUUAAAAGUGGUAUAUUUUGCUUUAGACAGGGAAUCAGGUUAUAAUCAUUGUUCUUCCUCUCAAGUGCCUCUUGGGCUUUACAUCAGGUCAAGGAUUUUCAGGGUUUCUCAAAAAUAGGAUUCUUGUCAGUGUCUCCAUGCUGAGUAAGUAACCUUUCUGACUCUAAUUUCUGGGUGGCCAUCUGUUGUCCAGCUCUGCUGCCAACUGGACUUUCCGAAAGCCAUGUCAACUAAUUUUUUAUAUGCUAAGACAAAUCGAAUAUGAAAAGAGGAAGAAUAUUGUAGAUAUUCUAAGACAUUUCUUAAUUUGGCAUCUCAGAGGAGGUAAGUGGAAAGUAAAGGAAGAGAUAAUUUUGGGGGAAAAUUUGUGGAAACAUACAAAACUUUUUGCUAUGUAUAGACGCUAAACAGUGGGAGGCAAUGUUUUUGUAACAACAAACAUUCUGACCUUUUGAAACACAAGCUCUUGGAGAAGUCAGGGAGAGACACAGUAUGAAUAAAAGCAAUUAACAUGUUCUUUAAUGUAUUUUUUUCAAAGAAGACCGCUGAAUCCUGUUCUCUAAUCCAAAGGGCAGUGUAGGCGGUUUUAAGCCCACAGAAUAUUGAGAUAUUUCUCGUGUGAUUUUAGUGGGGUGGUGGGAUGCAGAAGGUUAUUUAAGAUCAACUUAAGCAUCAGAUAGAAUAUCUCUUUUAUUUUUUUAACUCUUAUUUUAGGUUCAGGGGUACAUGUGCAGGUUGUUAUAUAGGUAAACUCAUCUCAUGUCAAGGGGUUUUGUUGUACAGAUUGUUUUGUCACCUAGGUGCUAAGCCUAGUACCCAGUAGUUAUUUUUCCUGCUCUUCUCCCUCCUCCCAACCUCCACCCUCAAGUAGGCCCCAGUGUUUGUUGUUCCCUUCUUUGUGUCCUUGAGUUCUCAUCAUUUAGCUCCUACUUCUAAGUGAGAACGUAUAGUAUUUGGUUUUCUGUUCUGUGUUAGUUUGCUAAGGAUAAUGGCCUCCAGGUCAGAUGGAAUAUCUAUCACAUAGACCUGUUGUUACAGGGUAGGAUCGGAUGAUGGACACUGAAGUACUCAGCGUGCUAAGUUCAGUUGCUCUCCCUAGCCUCCUUUUGGCUUCAGAGUCUUUUGAUUCCAUCUGUCCUGGCAUUUUUUGUGUGCUGAUGUUUAGUUCCUGAUUGGCUUUAGCUGUACUAAUAGGAAGGGAGUUGUCUUUUCAAGCAGUCUUAAAAGGUGGUCAGUCAAAAGGCCAGAGUCUGAAUCCCUUCUAUGGCUUAAAUAAUUUGAGGAUCAAGUCCAGUAUCUUGUUAAUGCCCUGUUCUACUGUGCCAGGCACUAUCUUGAAUGCUCUUAUAUGUUCAAAUUCAAAAUAGCUCUUUCAUACCGGGGGAUGAUAGUAACAUGUGACUUGCAAUAGAUUCCUUCAUCUUAGUAAUAAGAUGAUCAGUCUAGUUAGGACAAAAUAGAGAUUUGAAUAAAUUAACUUUUCCAAGUUCACAGAGUAAAAAUGAGCAGAUCUCUGCCUGGUUUUGUGAAAAAGACUUAGCACUGGUAAAUAGAAUAUUUCUGUUCCUACACCAUUCUUUCAGUAUAUCAUCACUGAAGACAGGAAGAUAGGCACACAGAUUUUUCCCAUAGUAAUUCGUAGUGCACUAGGUGAAAGAGAUGAAGUAUGUAUUGAAAGUACAAUGUGAUGGCAUUUAUUAUUCAGAUAAUCCCAGGAUUCUAGAAGAAAACAAAGAAGAGUGACAAUUCAGUUAGGGUGUGAACUUCCAGAGGAGCAUUGCUUAAGCUGAACUUGAGAGCAUUGUGCAAAAGCACAGUAACCUGUUAAGAACUAGAAAUAACCUAGCUUGUGCCACUUUGGGAGUAUUAAGACGUAAGCCUAGAAAGGUGGACAUAGGUUAGAUCUUAGACUGUCUUGUAUUUUUCUCCUUCCUAUUGAUGACCUACCUCAAAACUGACUAUGUUUUUCCUCCUGCCUAACACAAAACUACUUAAGGGCAAAAAUUUAAAUUCUUCCUUGGUGUGUGUGCAAACAAGGUUGAAUAUAUUCAUGCCUACCUUAUUUUGGACUAGGAAUACAGUAGUAUACUUUCCAAAGACUUGUCUGAACAGUAUAUAAGGUGGAGGCAACUGACUGCUUAGGUCAGUAUUUUUAGAAACUCUUAAUAGCUCAUACUCUUGAUGCCAAAAGCAGCCCUGAUUGUUAAAGCACACACCUGCACAAGAAGCAGUGAUGGUUGCAUUUACAAUUCCUGGGUGCACAAAUAAAAAUUCCCAAAAAGCAAGGACUUACGCUUUUGGCAAAACCUUUGAGAAGUUACUGGAUCAUAGGAAGCUUAUAACAAGAAUGGAAGAUUCUUAAAUAACUCACUUUCUUUGGUAUCCAGUAAUAGUAGAUGUUCAAAAUAUGUAGCUGAUUAAUACCAGCAUUGUGAACACUGCCCAACCUUGUGAUUAUUACUAAGCAAGUUACUACUAGCUUCUGAAAAGUAGCUUCAUAAUUAAAGUUAUUUAUACACUGCCUUCCAUGACCUUUACUUUGCCCUGAGCUAAUCCCCAAAAUCUGAAAUGCUACUCCAAUAUCAGAAAAAAAAGGGGGAGGUGGAAAUAUAUUUCCUGUGAUUUUAAGAGUACAGAGAAUCAUACACAUCUCUGGUUAGUUCAUAUAUGUCUAGUGUGUAAUAAAAGUCAAGAUGAACUCUCAAGAGCCUCCUAUUUUUGUCUUAUUGUCAGAUGUGUGAAAGCAGUUUUUAGAGGUUAAAAAAUGGAAAUUUCCACCUUUUUAGUAGAAUAAGAAUAGAGAAAUGUUCUUUUUUUUUUUUUUUUUUUUUCCUCCCUACCUGCAUUUUCAUUCAUGGAUGGCCAAGAUUAGUUUUGGGGUAUUAUUUUUAUUGUUGUUUUACAUCAUACUAGCUAUGCAAUCUAUUAUAUUGCUGUUAUUAUUCAGUAUCCUUUUAAGAGCCUUUAAUGACUCCUGUAGUUUGCUUUGGGUGUGAAGUCUUUAAUUUUCCCAGAGAUGGUGGAAAUCAGAUUCUGAAUGAAAUUGACAGUUAUCAAUUACUGACAGUUAUUUUCAACCUUGUCCUUAACUGGGAGCCUUCAGAUGCCCAAACAUUCUGGCAAGUAGCUAUUAUUUUCUGUCUAAAAUCUGUUUGUGAGCAUUGUCCAUCAGAGUCAGAUUGUUCAGCCAAUUUAUACUAUUAUUAGUAUUUACUGAGAAAUAUGAAAAGGCUUAUGUCUUGCUUUGAGGAAUGUGGUCUUCUUGCCGUUAGCUUCCCAAAACUGAGUAAACACAGACAAACCUUUGUCAGACCUGUUACUAGAAGGAAUUUACCUAACCAAAUGAAUUGUAACAAUUGUAUUUUUAGUUAGAUUUAGAUCUAAAAAAAUACUUCAGAUACAAAUUGAAAGGCAGUAUCUAAGUUGUUUCCUGCAAUAUAUAUUGUAAACGUUCCCCUCUGCUCCAUUAUACCACCAGUUGAUAAAAGACAUUAUAAGAAAAUCACUAAAUUUCCAAUUUCUAUUAAUAACAAAAAGAAUUCAAAAUGGCUUUGCUUAAGAUCACCGAAUUUAAUAUAACCAGGAAAGCAAAAUCUGUUUUUAAUUCAGAGGGUUUACAUUAAUGUCCUUACCCAUAACAGAUUCAUCUCGGGGUGGAAGGGAGGGCAAGGGCAAGGGAGAGAACAUAAAUACUGGAAACAAGAGUAAGUUACUUCACACUUUGUGGAGGAUGAGAACACUCAUUCAGAAACUGCGUAAUACCCAGACACUACUGUUUGAGCUUUGAUGAGGGAAGUAGCCUAAAAGCAAAUGUGUAGGGAUGUCGGGUUUGUUCCCAAAGUGCUAAAACCUGUAAUUUAUCAGCCACCUCAACUUCUUUGAUUACUAUAGCUAGGCUAAAUACUGAAAAAAAAUUAAAAAGAAAUGAGGAAACAGACAUGAGGGAUUUCAAGAAGGCCAGCAUCAAAGAAAGAAUCUUUGCAGUAACGAAGUUUUAAAAGUGAUCUGGAGGCUCAGGAUAAUACCAAAAGGUUUGACCUUAGAAAUUAAGUUACAGAGAAUAGAGUACAACUCUUUCGGGUUCUGAAAGAGUAGAAGAUCAUAUUUCUCUUGAUUUUAUUUGAUAGAAAUAGUUUGCUUGCUUUUUAAAAAGUGUUUCUGAAGAUGACAAGCAUCUUCAAAGAAGCUUUAUUGAAUCUGUUAACAUGUAACAAAGAAAUUUCACAUAGACAACUUAGUGAAUCCCUAGGCACUUAGUUUGACCUGCCAUGAAGAACAGAAAUCAGGCUAGAACACAGGAUAAUCCUUACCCCCUUCGCACCCCCAAAGAAUAGAAAAUUAAUCCCUCUGUCAUUCCAAACCCACAAAGUAGAGGCCUCCAUAUCUCCCAUUUCAUCCCUACAUGAAUCCUUUGAGAACAGGCUGUGUGCCAGACAGUGCUAGGACAGGAUAUACAAUGUGGAAUAAGACAAAUACAGCUAUUGCUGUCAUGGAACCUAGAAUCUAGUAAAGAUCAACUAACCAAAUAGCUAAUUAGAUGAGUAUACACAACCUCUAGAACCCUGAAGGAAACACCUGAAGGACGGUUUAGAUGGCGUGGUAAGGUGGUAAGGGAAUGCCAGUCCAUGAAGUUGAUGGUUAGGCUAAGACCUUACUGCAGAUGAAGAGCAUGAACAAAGAGGCAGAGACAGGAAAGAGCUUGGGACUUGAAGGGGUGGAGAAAUUCAUGGAAAACUAGCAUGAAGAAUGCUAUUUAAUGUUACUGAGUGAGGCAAAGAAUGGAGUAAGUUGGAAAGAAAAAAUAGGCCAAAUCAUACAGGGCGUUUGAACCAUAGAGAAGGCUGGGCAACUCGUCCAAAGGAUUUGACUUUACACAAUUAAAGGAGCUAGUAGAGUAGCCUCUGUAAGGCUGUUGUCUUUGUUUCUAAAGUUGGACGUGAAAUCCACGGGGCAGGUAAUCGGGAAGGGAAGGGAAGGGUAGAAACUGUGUCAGUUCUUGUCAUUGACCUUGGUACUGUGGAUGUCUUGCAGAAAGAAGUUAGUGCCGUUCUUGAACCUAUGCAUGGCCAGGAAGUCAGAGAGGCUGAUGGAUGAUCCAGGGGAAGAUAGAGCAGUUAUAGGCCCACCUGCUGCCUCACAGUAACAAGGUUUUCAGCACAUCUGUGACAUCACAAUCGAGCUACCAAAUGACUACUACUUUACCUCUGUUGAACAAAUUUCACCCAAGACUCCGUCCUGUCUUCCAUACUAACCAGAACCUUACAGGGAAGACAGUCCUAGGAAAUGAGCAGCCUAACCAAGUUGACACGUUACAAAGUCAUCAUGCUCUCUUAAGACCCUUCAACCUGGAUCUCUUGCCAGCAACUCAAUAUAUCCCGAACAGAAUUUUUCUAAACCUGCUUCUUCUGGGUCACCCUAUUUUUUUUUUUAAACAAUGCUACUUUCCUUCUGUGCUUAGAAUUUUCUAAUCUUGUUAACUCCCCCUUUUCCUUUCUCAUAUACCUCUCAUGCCACCACCAAUCUAUAACAGUUCUAUCAUUUUUACCUCUGCAGUGCCCACCCCAGGUGGAUGAGUUCAAACUCAACAGGUGAUUAUACAAUCCCACACAUUGAUUUCAUAUUUAGUUUGAUAUAAGCCCCCCUUCUGGAACCCCCAAAGAAGGUAAAGGCCACUUUCCUCUCCAAAAGCACGUACAGGGGAGUGAGUUAUAGCAAGGAGCUAGUAUGCUGCUAUCAUUAUUUAAACCAAGAAAAACCCACUGUAGACAAGAUGAAGGAUCUAAUAAAAAUGUGUUCUUAUUUCUGAUUCUAAAACUUUUAACAGCUGGGCUUUCCCAUGUGGAAUAAUGUUACAUAAAUAACUCAACCAGGGAACAGAGGGGCUGUGAAGAAGUCCAACAAAAUGAUAGAUGAUCUUGGACACUCUGAAUAUCACACCCAAUGGAGUUACAAGGAAAUAAGUGCAUUGGAAGGACAAUAAUGGCAAGCAUAUCUACAUUCGCUUCACGUACCUUAUAAAAAUCCUGGAGAAUCUGGCAUUUAUUACACGACUCAAUUAUGUACACUUUGAGGCUCAUGAAAGCCUGAAGAAUAUUCAAGAGCCAGACAAAAAACAACUAGUAAAAAAUGUUUAUACUCCUCUUCACAACUCAGUAAGAAAAUCUGUACAAACUGCUUCAAAAGGAAGAGUUGUAGGACCUUUGAUUGACAUCCUAAAAAGAACUGUGUAAGGAUAUGCCAGCACUUGAAUCUGAAGACAAUGGAAAAUAGAAAUCUAAUUGGAAUAAACUGGUCAGAUGUGGAGGACAUGCUGCCAUAUAAAUACAAGCAAAACAAAUUAGGAUGAUCCAUAGAAAGCAAGUCAGGGUUCUUGGAAAAAAAUAUUGAAAAUGGAGGAUCUGAUGCCAUCAAAAGUCACAAGAACUGUCUGGAAAUGUAAGGAAUUUUAAGCGAGGGAUUAGUUGUUUUACAAAAUUCAUUAAAAUAUGCACCAACCAUUCUUCAUCUCUUUAUGAACAAAGCUGGAAAUAUGAGACAAAGAAAGAUGAAAACAAGAGGGAGAAAAUGUUCUAUCUUACUUCAACAGGCUCUGUUUUAUUGCAGUGCCAACAUUUUUGAUCCACUGCAACAAACCAGAGAAGACUUAACCAGAAUGACAAGGGUAUUAUAAACUAGAAACUAGAGGUGUUUCACCUGAAAAUUGGGAGAUUUUGAGGUAACUUGAACAUAAUCUUCAAUAGAAAGCUAAUUCACUCACAAUAUACAUAUUUUUGAAUACUCAAUAAAACAUAUAUAUCCUUCUGAAUGGAAAAAGUACAAGGUGACAGGGAAAAAUACAGUUCCUCUCUUCCCAUGUCCUCCAGCCUCCCAGCUACCUUUCCCAGGGGCAAUCACAAUGAU